rnacentral:snRNA from 1 species
GUGCUCUCUUCGGCAGCACAUACACAAAAAUUGGAAUGAUAGAGAGAAGAUUAGUAUGGCCCCUGCGCAAGGAUGACACACAAAUUCAUGAAGCGUUCCAUAUUUUU